rnacentral:rRNA from 1 species
UCCCAAGUGUGACGCGGCGCGCGGACGCGCAUCCGGGGGGGUGGCUAGAAAGAGGCCUCGGGCCUGUUCAAGCGCGGAAGCGGGUACGAAAUUUGUCCGACACG